UCUACGGGAGGCAGCAGUGAGGAAUAUUGGUCAAUGGCCGGAAGGCUGAACCAGCAAAGUCGCGUGAGUGACGACUGCCCUAUGGGUUUUAAACCUCUUUUAUAAGGGAAGAAUAAAUGCUACGUGUAGCAUGAUGCCUGUAUCUUAUGUAUCAGGAUCGGCUAACUCCGUGCCAGCAGCAGCGGUAAUACGGGGGAUCCGAGCGUUAUGCGGAUUUAUUGGGUUUAACGGGAGCGUAGAGGGGUUGUAAAGUCAGUUGUGAAAGGUAGCGGCUCAACCGUAAAAUUGCAAUGGAUACUGGCAGUCUUGAGUACAGUUGAGGUAAGCGGAAUUCGUGGUGUAGCGGUGAAAUGCUUAGAUAUCACGAAGAACCCCGAUGGCGAAGGCAGCUUACUAAACUGUGACUGACAUUGAGGCUCGAAAGUGUGGGUAUCAAACAGGAUUAGAUACCCUUGUAGUC
rnacentral:rRNA from 1 species